rnacentral:misc_RNA from 1 species
GGAAGUAAAAGUCGUUAACAAGGUUUCCGUAGGUGAACCUGCGGAAGGAUCAUUCAUAAUAAGUGUUUUACUGCACUUUUUAAAAAUAGUACUCACCUUGUGUGCAAUGUUGUGUUUCUUUUCGGAGAAACACCUACACCAACCUAUAACCUCGAACCACUUUGUCUGAAAAACUAUUAUGAAUACUUAAUUCAAAAUACAACUUUCAACAACGGAUCCCUUGGCUCUC